GAUAAUGUUACGAUACAAAUUUCGUUGUAGACGCCAGAGUCCAAGUGAAAGUGGCGAAAACUUUAUUUUAGCGGUGAAACUUUUAGCAGAAUCGUGUGAUUUCGGUGCUUUUCGAGACUCAGCUAUUCGAUAUCAGUUAGUUUUUGGUGUUUACAAUAGGGAAUUACAGAAGCGGUUGCUUAACGAAGAAGACCUCAAUGUCCGUUCCGCGGAAAGAAUAAUUAAGGGUUUUGAAAUGGCGAAUAGUAAUACGCAGUAUUUCCACUCAGAAUCAGGCGAAAAUCAUGGCGUAGUCAAUUCGGUGAAAUAUAGGCUCGGAGAUAGGCAAUCUAGGGCGGAUAGACAUGAUCGCAGCCGGAGUAGGUCUAUGGACAGACCCUAUUAUAGGAAUCAGGGUUCUCGGAGUAAUUACAGGCAAGAUUACAGGAGGUAUGAAGGACGUUCGAGGUCGGGCCACAGGAGUUCGAGUCGAGGCAGAUAUGCAAAUUUUGUGUGCCAUUUCUGCAAGAAACGCGGCCAUAUUCAAAAAAAAUUGCUAUCGGUACUUAGACAGCCAGAAGAGUUCCGUAAAGUUCGUGAAGGAAGUACAUACGGAGAAGGAAGAUGAAAACGCUGCUGGAGAUGUUCACGAUUACUUCAAACGGCUUCGAGUACAGUAUGACUCCGAUACUGAGGAAGAAGAGUGUCUCAAAAUGUAUUACAGAUCGCCAUCGGGUCAACCCUCGUCUCGGCCCACAAGGGGCAGGUGAGAAUUCAGAAUAGCCAGACUGGACGAAGGCGUAAUAGUACGCUCCAGGUUCAGCAGCCUAACUGUGAGCAUGGGAAAACGCAGCCAAGCCGAGAGGAAAUGGAGGGAUUGCAACAGGACGAAACGCAACAACGAGGAUCAAAGAGAAGUCUCACGGAACGGGAUGAUAGCGAGGAUGAAUUCUACGGGUUCCCGUCCAGUGCAGAGCAACCGUUGCCAGCAAGUAGUGAGUUGCAUCCCAAAUCCUUGCAGCAGCAGUUAGGGCAGCAUUCUACAUCUCAAACCUCAGUGCUACGAAGAUCAAGCAGAUUAAAAAAGAAGAAAAUUGACGACGCUUUUGUCUAUACAAAAUGAACUAAAAUGUGUAUACAAUUUAAUGAAGUAUGAAAUAAUAUUUUGAACUUGUACAUAAACUUUCUUAAUUCAAUCAAAGGGGGAAGGUAUUGUUGAGUAUGACGAUUACGUUCAGUGCACCUAUGGGAAGCGAAUACCGCCGACGGCGGAUAUCAUAAUCAAUAUGCUUGUAGUUGUAAGAUACUAUUGGAUACAAUGUUUACUGUUGUUGUUGAUAGCCCUUUUGAAGAAGAAAUACAAUCACCUAUUGUUGACAUGGGAUAUAAAUAAUACGAA